CUACCAUGCAGUUGAGCGGUAAGGCCCCUUCGGGGGUACACGAGCAGCGAACGGGUGAGUAUCGCGUGGGUAACCUACCCAGAGGUGGGGGAUAGCCUCGGGAAACCGGGGGUAAUACCGCAUGAGCCCUCGAUGACACAAGUCGACGAGGGGAAAGGCGGGGAUCCUUCGGGACCUGUCGUCUCUGGAUGGGCCCGCGUCCGAUUAGCUAGUUGGUGGGGUAAUGGCCUACCAAGGCGACGAUCGGUAGCCGGCCUGAGAGGGUGAACGGCCACAUUGGGACUGAGACACGGCCCAGACUCCUACGGGAGGCAGCAGUGGGGAAUUUUGGGCAAUGGGGGAAACCCUGACCCAGCGACGCCGCGUGGAGGAUGAAGGCCCUCGGGUUGUAAACUCCUGUCAGGUGGGAAGAAGAGCCGGCCGGAUAAUACCCGGCUGGAAUUGACGGUACCACCAAAGGAAGCCCCGGCUAACUCCGUGCCAGCAGCCGCGGUAAUACGGAGGGGGCAAGCGUUAUUCGGAUUUACUGGGCGUAAAGCGCACGUAGGUGGCAUGGUAAGUCAAAGGUGAAAGCCCUCGGCUCAACCGAGGAACUGCCUUUGAAACUGCUUUGCUUGAGUCCGGGAGGGGGGAGCGGAAUUCCCAGUGUAGCGGUGAAAUGCGUAGAUACUGGGAGGAACACCGGUGGCGAAGGCGGCUCCCUGGACCGGUACUGACACUGAGGUGCGAAAGCGUGGGUAGCAAACAGGAUUAGAUACCCUGGUAGUCCACGCCGUAAACGAUGGGCACUAGGUGCAGCGGGUGUCGACCCCUGCUGUGCCGUAGUU
rnacentral:rRNA from 1 species